rnacentral:rRNA from 1 species
UGCUUUAGAGAUAAAGCGGAGGUAUUCGGGGAGACAGGUGGUGCAUGGUUGUCGUCAGCUCGUGUCGUGAGAUGUUGGGUUAAGUCCCGCAACGAGCGCAACCCCUAUUGCUAGUUACCAUCAUUAAGUUGGGGACUCUAGCGAGACUGCCAGUGAUAAACUGGAGGAAGGUGGGGAUGACGUCAAAUCAUCAUGCCCCUUAUGACCUGGGCUACAAACGUGAUACAAUGGCUGGAACAAAGGGAUGCGAAGCAGUGAUGUGGAGCGAAACCCAUAAAAACAGUCUCAGUUCGGAUUGAAGUCUGCAACUCGACUUCAUGAAGUCGGAAUCGCUAGUAAUCGCGGAUCAGAACGCCGCGGUGAAUACGUUCUCGGGGUUU